UACGAGGGGGGCAAGCGUUGUUCGGAAUUACUGGGCGUAAAGGGCUCGUAGGCGGCCCACUAAGUCAGAUGUGAAAUCCCCAGGCUCAACCUGGGAACUGCAUCUGAUACUGGUGGGCUUGAAUUCGGGAGAGGGAUGCAGAAUUCCAGGUGUAGCGGUGAAAUGCGUAGAUAUCUGGAGGAAUACCGGUGGCGAAGGCGGCAUCCUGGACCGACAUUGACGCUGAGGAGCGAAAGCUAGGGGAGCAAACGGG
rnacentral:rRNA from 1 species